CGUGCGUGCCUUGUGCGUGCGUGCGUGCGUGCGUGCUUGUAUAAGCGAGUAAACGGGCUCGCAGUUUUCGUGUUGUCACCAUCAUCACGUUUCCCGUCCAUCGUCGCUACGGUCAUCGUCGUAGAGGUACUCUCUCGUUCGUCGCUCUCCACGAGAAACAGCUCCGUUUGACAUUUGUACUUGAGAUGAGAAAAAGAACAACAAAGAUAACGCACCGUCCGAGUACCAAAUAGCAGGGGUAUAACGGCGCUCUUCAGCAACAUACAACGGAGCCGGCGUACAUAGGCGCGAAGAGCGUGUCUAAGGGAGAGAGGAAGCGAAACGUCGUGCGGACGAGAAUGACAGUACAGGGUGAGAGUUGCCAAACAGAAUGAGAGAAAUCGUCAAACAUCGACCGAGUAAGGAUCUGUCGGCCCUUCGCAUAAGAGAUGAUUUUUAGAAGGAAGAGGGCAUGACGCACCGAACUCAUGCAGUGGCGAAAACACGUGCGCAUCAAGUACGGUGGUCGAGUCGGUGUCGGUCAAGGACAGCGGGAGCGGGAGCAAGUGCAGCUGCAAGUGCGCGUGGUGCAGCUGCAGCGAGAAAGGGGCGCACGACUCAACUACGUCUGUCAUCAGCCUCAGCUCUCA